rnacentral:rRNA from 1 species
GACGAACGCUGGCGGCGUGCUUAACACAUGCAAGUCGAACGAGGAGCGAUGGAAGCUUGCUUCUAUCAAUCUUAGUGGCGAACGGGUGAGUAACGCGUAAUCAACCUGCCCUUCAGAGGGGGACAACAGUUGGAAACGACUGCUAAUACCGCAUACGAUCUAAUCUCGGCAUCGAGGAUAGAUGAAAGGUGGCCUCUACAUGUAAGCUAUCACUGAAGGAGGGGAUUGCGUCUGAUUAGCUAGUUGGAGGGGUAACGGCCCACCAAGGCGAUGAUCAGUAGCCGGUCUGAGAGGAUGAACGGCCACAUUGGGACUGAGACACGGCCCAGACUCCUACGGGAGGCAGCAGUGGGGAAUCUUCCGCAAUGGACGAAAGUCUGACGGAGCAACGCCGCGUGAGCGAUGACAGCCUUCGGGUUGUAAAGCUCUGUUAAUCGGGACGAAAGGCCUUCUUGCGAAUAGUGAGAAGGAUUGACGGUACCGGAAGAGAAAGCCACGGCUAACUACGUG